rnacentral:rRNA from 1 species
GACGAACGCUGGCGGCGUGCUUAACACAUGCAAGUCGAACGAAGAGCGAUGGAAGCUUGCUUCUAUCAAUCUUAGUGGCGAACGGGUGAGUAACGCGUAAUCAACCUGCCCUUCAGAGGGGGACAACAGUUGGAAACGACUGCUAAUACCGCAUACGAUCUAACCUCGGCAUCGAGGAAAGAUGAAAGGUGGCCUCUAUGUAUAAGCUAUCACUGAAGGAGGGGAUUGCGUCUGAUUAGCUAGUUGGAGGGGUAACGGCCCACCAAGGCGAUGAUCAGUAGCCGGUCUGAGAGGAUGAACGGCCACAUUGGGACUGAGACACGGCCCAGACUCCUACGGGUGGCAGCAGUGGGGAAUCUUCCGCAAUGGACGAAAGUCUGACGGAGCAACGCCGCGUGAGUGAUGACGGCCUUCGGGUUGUAAAGCUCUGUUAAUCGGGACGAAAGGCCUUCUUGCGAAUAGUUAGAAGGAUUGACG